CGACCACUUUAAGCAUGUCGCGAUACCUUCUCCACCUUCUGUCAUUUGCCCCAACUACCAAAGUAUAGUACCUACCGUUUGCAAUGGCUAUGGUUGCAAAGGAGGUGCGGGAGAAUGCUCUAGAACUAAGUUUAUACUCAAAGGUGUAAUAAUUUCUCCCAUCAAUCGUUCGCUCCUUCAUGUCAUAUAUGGUAGCCUUUUG
rnacentral:misc_RNA from 1 species